UCGACUUGUACUAGAUUUUGUUUCAAUCAUUGUCAUUUCAGCUUCCACACGUCUCUUCCAUGUGCUGACUAGACUUCUUGCUUUCUUCUGAAUCUCUGAAUUUUUAUGGCUUCUUAAAUGAUUCACAGAUUUCCCAACAUUACAAGUCUGUAAAGCAUGAAGAUUCACAGGUAACCUAUCAAGGGCACGAAGUAGAGAAAAAAGAAAAUCUUCAACAGAUUUAUCGUUUUCUUUUGGACUCCCAUUCCCAUCGCCGAUUUUACCCUUGUGGAUUUCUUGAAGCCAUUCAUCCAAAACUGACAAACCCCUUAAUUGAACAAACCGAGUUAAAUAAUCAAAUCUUUCAGUAACUGAUAUGACAUCAACAAGCAUUGUUCGGGAAGAUAAGUCGAGUUUUUUGUCGGUGUUUUCGGGUCUCAUGAGUUGGAUUAGUUUUUCAACUCCUUGGAAAUCCAUCAAUCCUCCUUUAUCAGUGAUUUUGGAAAUUUCGGUUUUUAUUAUGUGUUCAGGUCUAAGUUGACCAGAAUNAAGAAUCUUCAGGUAAAGGAGGGGAACAUGCCACGUCAGAUCUUGAGAUUUCACCAGCUGCCACGCUGGCAAGAAGAUUCAUUCCACCAUCAUCACCCAUUGAAGGUGACACUGAGACACUAGCUUCAGAAAACUUAGCACAGCUUUCUACUAACGCGUUUAUAGAGCUAUAAGAAGGUUCAUAUAAUUUCCCUGGUUUUGGAGUGACCCCAGAUGAAGAACCACCAUGUUCAUCAGGUAACACAACAGUCACAGUUGCUGACUUGGCAUCAUCACAGCCCUCCAUUCCAUCUUUCCCAUCUGUAUCCAUUUUUUCCACAUUGCUCUGUAAAGAAUCGUUUACAGUUUUUCCACUUGUCUUUUGAUCUUGCUUCUCAGAAGGUGCCACAACACUUUGGUUGUUUCCAUUAUCUACAAUGGACACAUCAGACACAUGUCCAGCUCCUUUCUCAUUACCAAAAUUCCGGAUUUUUCCAAGAUUACCCUUUUCAUUUCCUGGAGUUGUGGAGCCAUGGAAACCAUUGCUUGAGUUCCUGCUAUUGUAAACACUACCAGUCUUCCCAUGAUCACUAGAGCAAGAUUGACUGUUGUUUGGAGAAUGAGUGGUGCUUGAACUCCUACCUUCUUUAGUUCCAGAUGAAGGCAUGUCCGAGGAUCCACCACCACCUCCACCACCGCCACCGCCAGUUGCCGCCAGUUUAUCGGCGGGAGAUUUGGCGGCAGGUUCACCGGAAUUAUUAUUAUUAUUAUUAACUUUCGGUUGUUGUGGAGAUUUUAAAGGGGAAGGUUGAGAGGUGGAAGUAGAACGUCUGUUUCCUAAAUGAGAAACAUCAGACAUCAUUGAUUUACUUGGCCAUGAGCCACCUCGACUUGUACUAGAUUUUGUUUCAAUCAUUGUCAUUUCAGCUUCCACACGUCUCUUCCAUGUGCUGACUAGACUUCUUGCUUUCUUCUGAAUCUCUGAAUUUUUAUGGCUUCUUAAAUGAUUCACAGAUUUCCCAACAUUACAAGUCUGUAAAGCAUGAAGAUUCACAGGUAACCUAUCAAGGGCACGAAGUAGAGAAAAAAGAAAAUCUUCAACAGAUUUAUCGUUUUCUUUUGGACUCCCAUUCCCAUCGCCGAUUUUACCCUUGUGGAUUUCUUGAAGCCAUUCAUCCAAAACUGACAAACCCCUUAAUUGAACA
rnacentral:lncRNA from 1 species